GGUGCCAUAUCCAAGUGGUAAGGAAGCGGUCUGCAAAACCGUUAUGCAGCGGUUCGAAUCCGCUUGGCACCU
rnacentral:tRNA from 1 species